rnacentral:rRNA from 1 species
AUGACCUGCACGCACACACCGGCGACGUACUGCAGCAGCGAGUCAACCGAACUGCAUGAAGGCGGCAACCGAGCUGCAAAGGGGCACAAUAACUCCAUGAGACCUUUUGCGAGCUACUUCCCACACACCAUAGAUUGUACACAUGCACGGGCCGCACUGCAUGGACGCGCUGGUGGACUGCAAGGAGGGGAUGGGGGAGCUCACUUGCGUGGCCGAGCUACACGGCGAUGGCCGCUGGACUGUAGAGGAGGCCAUCGUACCGGACGUUCUCACUGUCCGCACUGCAGGCACCCGCCAUCGUACUACACAUGCUCACCAGCCGCACUGCAGGCACCCGCUGCACAUGCUCACCGGAUGGCAUAG